GUAAUUCGUUUAACAAAAUCCACCUCUACGUAACGAACUUUAUACCCAAUUAGAUACCGGACUGCUGCUUCUAAUGUGUGUCACGCAUAUUCGAACGUUACUAGCUUCGUGUGAAUUUCUUCAGUAAGACUGCUGUUACUGAGUAAGACCACGGACACUAUCAUCAUUCGGUAACGUGUGCAUUUCAACAGGUAGUAGGUAUACUGCUGUCGCAAAAUGCCACGAUUGUUUGCGUAUUCCUGGAUUAAUCUGUUUGUCUACAGGUAUGAAGAAACUUAAGCGUUGCUGGACUUGGUGUAUAUUUUACAGGUAUUUUAUCAAAGCAAUCGUGUAAUCAUCGCGCUACAUUUUCAUUCCUAGCUAGGUAGCACCAUUAC